CGGCUCCUAAGGCGAGGCAGAAAUGCGUAGUCGAUGUGAAACAGGUCAAUAUUCCUGUACCGAUUCUAGAUGCGAUGUGGGGACGGAGAAGGUUAGGUCAGCCGGGUGUUGGACGUCCCGGUUUAAGCGUGUAGGCGUGCCCCUUAGGCAAAUCCGGGGGGCUAAGCUGAGGCGUGAUGACGAGGAACCACGGUUCCGAAGUGAUUGAUACCAAGCUUCCAGGAAAAGCCACUAAGCUUCAGUCUAGAGUUGACCGUACCGCAAACCGACACAGGUGGGCAGGAUGAAAAUUCUAAGGCGCUUGAGAGAACUCAGGAGAAGGAACUCGGCAAAUUAACACCGUAACUUCGGGAGAAGGUGUGCCCCGGUAGCGUGUAGAGACUUGCUCUCGAAGCGCGAUGGGGUUGCAGUGAAAUGGUGGCUGCGACUGUUUAAUAAAAACACAGCACUCUGCAAACACGAAAGUGGACGUAUAGGGUGUGACGCCUGCCCGGUGCCGGAAGGUUAAGUGAUGGGGUGCAAGCUCUUGAUCGAAGCCCCGGUAAACGGCGGCCGUAACAAUAACGGUCCUAAGGUAGCGAAAUUCCUUGUCGGGUAAGUUCCGACCUGCACGAAUGGCGUAACGAUGGCCACACUGUCUCCUCCUGGGACUCAGCGAAGUUGAAAUGUUUGUGAAGAUGCAAUCUACCCGCGGCUAGACGGAAAGACCCCAUGAACCUUUACUGUAGCUUUGCAUUGGACUUUGAACCGGUUUGUGUAGGAUAGGUGGGAGACUGUGAAGCCGGGACGCUAGUUUCGGUGGAGUCAACCUUGAAAUACCACCCUGAUUUGUUUGAGGUUCUAACCUUGGUCCGUGAAUCCGGAUCGGGGACCGUGCAUGGUAGGCAGUUUGACUGGGGCGGUCUCCUCCCAAAAGGUAACGGAGGAGUACGAAGGUACGCUUAGGGCGGUCGGACAUCGCCCACAAAGUGCAAUGGCAAAAGUGUGCUUGACUGCGAGACCCACAAGUCGAGCAGGUACGAAAGUAGGUCAUAGUGAUCCGGUGGUUCUGUAUGGAAGGGCCAUCGCUCAACGGAUAAAAGGUACUCUGGGGAUAACAGGCUAAUUCCUCCCAAGAGUUCAUAUCGACGGGGGAGUUUGGCACCUCGAUGUCGGCCCAUCACAUCCUGGGGCUGUAGUCGGUCCCAAGGGUAUGGCUGUUCGCCAUUUAAAGUGGUACGCGAGCUGGGUUUAAAACGUCGUGAGACAGUUUGGUCCCUAUCUGCCGUGGGCGCUGGAAAUUUGAAGGGGGCUGCUCCUAGUACGAGAGGACCGGAGUGGACGAACCUCUGGUGUACCGGUUAUGACGCCAGUCGUAUCGCCGGGUAGCUAAGUUCGGAAGAGAUAAACGCUGAAAGCAUCUAAGCGUGAAACUCGCCUUAAGAUAAGAUUUCCCGGAGUC
rnacentral:rRNA from 1 species